rnacentral:rRNA from 1 species
UGGGGAAUAUUGGACAAUGGGCGCAAGCCUGAUCCAGCCAUGCCGCGUGAGUGAUGAAGGCCCUAGGGUUGUAAAGCUCUUUCACCGGUGAAGAUAAUGACGGUAACCGGAGAAGAAGCCCCGGCUAACUUCGUGCCAGCAGCCGCGGUAAUACGAAGGGGGCUAGCGUUGUUCGGAUUUACUGGGCGUAAAGCGCACGUAGGCGGACUAUUAAGACAGGGGUGAAAUCCCGGGGCUCAACCCCGGAACUGCCUUUGAUACUGGUAGUCUUGAGUUCGAGAGAGGUGAGUGGAAUUCCGAGUGUAGAGGUGAAAUUCGUAGAUAUUCGGAGGAACACCAGUGGCGAAGGCGGCUCACUGGCUCGAUACUGACGCUGAGGUGCGAAAGCGUGGGGAGCAAACAGG